UUUCUCUACCACCGCCACCCCCAAGCAGAAGGUUCUCAGCUUUCAUUUAAAAAAAAAAGAUAUCAAUUGGAAAGUAAGAAAGCAAAAUGAGGAAGCAACAUUCUAAGGCUUAUUAGGCAGAUACAGAGACACUAAAGGCACUUAAAUCGCUAAAUCACUGUUGCUAAGUGAUCAGAAGGAAGGAGUGUGAGGCAUUUCUGUAUCUUCCCUGCUGAGGAGAUUUAUCCUCUUCCAACAGGAGCAGCUUGCAGUGAAACAUACAGAACUACUCUUCUGGCAUAUACUGAAAUAUAAUUCAAAGAAGGGAUGACAAGGAAAUAAAGCUUGUCAUUAGUGACAAGAUCCUGCACUUCAGAUUACCUAUCGCUAAUAUCAGAAAAUUGGGGAGGAUAUAAAUUGUUCCUUGGCAACUAGAUCUAGAGAAGAAAUAAGUAAUAAACAGUAUAUUCCCAUGGACAAUGAGAACUACUUGCCUGGAAGGAAAUGUACCAUGCAAAUCAGUUAGAUUGGUAUUUCCCAGACUGUAAGUUAUACAUAAUGCAGCUGGCAAGUAAGAAUAUAAAAAGAGCCCUGCUGGACCAGGCCAAAGGCCCAUCUAGUUCAUCAUCAUGUUUUCAUGAUGGUCAGCCAGAUGUCUCUGGGAAGCCUGGAACAGAACUGAGUGCAAGAGUCCACUUGUGAUUUCCAGCAACUGUAUACAGGGCAUACUGCCUCCAAUAGUGGAGCUAGAACACCAUGGCAGGUACUCAAUGUAUUUAAUGUAAUGCAACCUAUUUAAUAGCGUUAGUAGGAGGAACCAUUUCUCACUGGUAGACCACAUGCUUUGCAUGCAGAAAGUUGCUGCAUGCAGAAAAACCCUGCCAUUUCUCCAGUUAAAAAGGUCAGGCAGCAGGUGACAUGAAACACCUCUGCCUGAGACCCCCAAGUGCAACUGUCAGUCAAACACAAUUUGACCUGGUGUAAAGGCAGACAAUGGCAGAGCAGUUAAGUCUUAAUAGCACUGUGAAAAAAACAUUUACUUUUUGAGAGUGAAAACAAUGUAUGCCUCCAAAUUUAAUUUUUAAGUAAAGUGUGUAUGGCAACUAUCAGAAAUCUGGGAAACACCACCCUAGAUUUGUCUCCAGUUUGAACCCAAACAAUUCUGUUGAAUAAGCUACACAUAAAGAACUAGACUGAAGCCAGAAUUUUCCAUUAGAUCUACAGGGAAGAAUAUGAAGCUUCAACACACAUGACUGCAGUCAAGAUUCGGACAUUGUAGAAUUAAAAUAAUAUCAACACAACCCUUCUCAAAAAUCAUACCCCAAGCUGUGGAGAUUAUGGGUGCAUACAUUCCCCCUUCUCUCCCAAACCCAUUCCAUCCUCCAAAUUUUCAAGUUCUUUACAGCUUGUUUCCUGCUGAUGCCUCAAAUUCACUGUCAGCAUCUUGGCAAGAGAGAUUCAAAUGAAACAAUGCUCCUCAUAAACCAGCACUAUGACUCACUGAUUUCUCCCACUGAUGAUGCAGACCGUCUCUCUGUCUGCCCUUCCAAAAAUAUACAAGGAGACAAGGGGUUGAAGUUUGAAGAAAGCAAAUUGCAAAAGUAUAAGGAGAGAAAAAGCAUUCAAAUGAAACCAGAUGCAUUUUGUACCCUAAUGUGCACUCAGGCCAGGAGCACAAGAACUAAGAAACUAUUUUCCACAUGCCAGAGGGGUCUAUGGACCAGUUGAACAGCCUCCUUUCUCUCCCACCCCCACUCUCCAUCAGCAAACCCUGUAGUUAUUUACAAAACUAUGGGUGUUCCUAAAUUCCGUCUUUGAAUCCCGGUUUAUGAUUGAAAAUCUGUAAUCUGGUACCAUAACUCUCUUUUCUACUAUUAUCUAAUAAUGUUUUAGUUUAAAACCAGGCCAAUCCCAUCUGUAUUUACAAGAAAAAUACUAGAUUGAACAGUUCAGAGGAAUUAACAGCAUUUGUACACUUUGCAGACAAUAAUACAACUUCUUUAAAAGAUAAUUCCUUGUAACGUCAAA